AAACCAUGAUGAGGACACUCUAAAAGAAGAUCCUUAAAAUGUUCCAUACAUCUAGAAAAAUGAUUCAUUUGGUUUUUGACGAAACUGGAGAAUGUUGUUCCUAAGUUU
rnacentral:snoRNA from 1 species